rnacentral:rRNA from 1 species
UACGUAGGGGGCAAGCGUUGUCCGGAAUCAUUGGGCGUAAAGCGCGUGUAGGCGGCCCGAUAAGUCCGCUGUGAAAGUCCAGGGCUCAACCCUGGGAUGCCGGUGGAUACUGUCGGGCUCGAGUCCGGAAGAGGCAAGUGGAAUUCCUGGUGUAGCGGUGGAAUGCGCAGAUAUCAGGAGGAACACCUAUAGCGAAGGCAGCUUGCUGGGACGGUACUGACGCUAAGGCGCGAAAGCGUGGGGAGCGAACAGG